rnacentral:rRNA from 1 species
GACGAACGCUGGCGGCGUGCUUAACACAUGCAAGUCGAACGGAAAGGCCCUGCUUUUGUGGGGUGCUCGAGUGGCGAACGGGUGAGUAACACGUGAGUAACCUGCCCUUGACUUUGGGUUAACUUCAGGAAACUGGGGCUAAUACCGGAUAGGAGCUCCUGCUGCAUGGUGGGGGUUGGAAAGUUUCGGCGGUUGGGGAUGGACUCGCGGCUUAUCAGCUUGUUGGUGGGGUAGUGGCUUACCAAGGCUUUGACGGGUAGCCGGCCUGAGAGGGUGACCGGCCACAUUGGGACUGAGAUACGGCCCAGACUCCUACGGGAGGCAGCAGUGGGGAAUAUUGCACAAUGGGCGGAAGCCUGAUGCAGCAACGCCGCGUGCGGGAUGACGGCCUUCGGGCUGUAAACCGCUUUCGCCUGUGACGAAGCGUGAGUGACGGUAAUGGGUAAAGAAGCACCGGCUAACUACGUG